rnacentral:rRNA from 1 species
GACGAACGCUGGCGGCGUGCCUAACACAUGCAAGUAGAACGCAGUUGCGAACGGGUGAGUAACGCGUAGGUAACUGCCCCAUAGCGGGGGAUAACUAUGGGAAACGAUAGCUAAUACCGCAUAAUGUGAGAUGGACCUGCGUUGUAUUAGUUAGUUGGUGGGGUAAAGGGUCACCAAGGCGACGAUACAUAGCCGGCCUGAGAGGGUGGUCGGCCACACUGGGACUGAGACACGGCCCAGACUCCUACGGGAGGCAGCAGUAGGGAAUCUUCGGCAAUGGACGGAAGUCUGACCGAGCAACGCCGCGUGAGUGAAGAAGGUUUUCGGAUCGUAAAGCUCUGUUAAUAGGGAAGCGGUAACGAACCAGAAAGGGACGGCUAACUACGUGCCAGCAGCCGCGGUAAUUC